GAUGAACGCUGGCGGCGUGCCUAAUACAUGCAAGUCGAGCGAACAGACGAGGAGCUUGCUCCUCUGACGUUAGCGGCGGACGGGUGAGUAACACGUGGAUAACCUACCUAUCAGACUGGGAUAACUUCGGGAAACCGGAGCUAAUACCGGAUAAUAUAUUGAACCGCAUGGUUCAAUAGUGAAAGACGGUUUUGCUGUCACUUAUAGAUGGAUCCGCGCCGCAUUAGCUAGUUGGUAAGGUAACGGCUUACCAAGGCAACGAUGCGUAGCCGACCUGAGAGAGUGAUCGGCCACACGGGAACUGAGCCACGGUCCAGACGACUAAGAUAGGCAGCAGUAUCGAAUCUUCCGCAGUGGGCGAAAGCCUGACGGAGCAACGCCGCGUGAGUGAUGAAGGUCUUCGGAUCGUAAAACUCUGUUAUUAGGGAAGAACAAAUGUGUAAGUAACUAUGCACGUCUUGACGGUACCUAAUCAGAAAGCCACGGCUAACUACGUG
rnacentral:rRNA from 1 species